CAGCCGUAAACAAUGUGCGUUAGGUGUGUCGGUAACCACGCGUUACUGAUGCGCCGAAGAGAAAUCGUGAAACGCACCACCUGGGAAGUACGGUCGCAAGGCUGAAACUUAAAGGAAUUGGCGGGGGAGCACCACAACAGGUGGAGCCUGCGGUUUAAUUGGAUUUCAACGCCGGACAUCUCACCGGAUAAGACAGCUGAAUGAUUGUCAAUCUGAAGGUUUUACAUUGACUAGCUGAGAGGUGGUGCAUGGC
rnacentral:rRNA from 1 species